rnacentral:rRNA from 1 species
CCUACGUGCGGCAGCAGUGAGGAAUAUUGGUCAAUGGACGCAAGACUGAACCAGCCAAGCCGCGUGCAGGAUGACGGCUCUGUGAGUUGUACACUGCUUUUGUAAGAGGAUAAACCCCGAUACGUGUCUCCGGUUGAGAGUAUCGUACGAAUAAGGAUCGGCGAACUCCGUGCCAGCAGCCGCGGUAAUACGGAGGAUCCGAGCGUUAUCCGGAUGUAUUGGGUUUAAAGGGUGCGGAGGCGGUUCGAUAAGGUAGAGGGGAAAUGUCGGGGACCAACCCCGGAACUGCCUUUAAUACUGUUGGACUAGAGAAGGGGUGCGGUAGGCGGAAUGUAUGGUGUAGCGGUGAAAUGCUUAGAGAUCAUACAGAACACCGAUUGCGAAGGCAGCUUACCA